GGCGACGAUGAUGAGUGCUUAAAUUUCUGACACCUCUUGUAUGAGAAGAAUUCGAUACUCUUCUUUGAGCACAAUUAGCAACUCUCUGAGCC